GGAAUAUUUAUGUUGCCCCUGAGUAUUCAGGAGGAGAGCCUGUGGACAGAGCUGCAGCAGAGGGAGCUUUACCUGGCACCAAGAGCUGCAGGAACAAUUGCCAGGAGCCUGAGGAGCUUGACAUCCACCUGAUCUACCUUGCCAGGAGGGCUGCCCUGCAUGGGAAGAAGGAUCAGAGGGAGAGCCUGUGACCAUCGGGCAGGUGGAAUCCCUCCAUUUCUAUAUAGAUUUAUAAAUUUCUAUAAUUCUAUUUAUAUAUCCAUAUAGUUACAUUUAUAGAUUUGUACAGUCCUAUUUAUAUAUCCGCAUAGUUAUAUUUAUGGAUUUAUCGAUGUGUGUUAACAUCUGCAUAUAUAUAUAUACAUCUAUAUAGUUAAAUCUGUAUAUAUCAUUAUAGAUGGGGUGUAAUUGUAUUUGUAGGUAUGUAGUUACAUUUAUAGAUUUUCAAGUGUACAUUUAUAUAUGUAUAGAGUAAUAUAUAUAUAUUUAUAUAUUUAUAUUUAUAAAUCUGGAUUUUUACGUAGUUAGAAGUAUAUGGAUUUUAAAUGGAUAGGCUCUUGUUGGUGUAGGCCUAGGCUGCAUUUUUACCCCUUUUUCCCUCGGCUGCCUUUCUCACCUCUUGCUUUUCCCCCUGUGCCCCCUGUGUCCCCUCUCCCUGUGCUGGGUCCGAGCUGGCGGCCGGGCCGGCCGGAUCAGCACUUCCAGCCCCGGCUGUCCCUGGAGCGGUGGGAGCUGCCGCUGGCCCCAGGCACUGUCCCCUGAGGAGCUGCUGAAGGACGCUGCAAGGAAGAUCUUGAGGACAGCCGGAGACUGACAGGAGCCAGCAGGGAGAAGCUGAAGGCCAGCAGCAGGAGCAGGGAACGGGGACCUGCUGCUGCCAGCCUGGAGAGAGCUCGGAUGUCCCAUCUGCUGUCCCUGUCCAGGAGAGCUGCUCUGCACGGGAGGCGGAGACCAAGGAAGAGGCUUUGAAGGUGGGGCAGCUGGGAUCCCUCUUCUUGGAGCUCUAUUUAAAGAAGUCUGGACUUGCACAUAGAGAGGGAUUAUUAUAUGGAUAUGUUCAUGUGUAGGCUUCUUUUUGUAUAGGAAUAUUUCUAUAUAUUUGUUUUUGUAUUUAUUGAUGUAUUAUAUAAAUGUAUGCAUAUAUAUACAUAUAUGUUUGUAAUUACAUGUAUGUAUAUAUUUGUAUCUAAGUAUACAUGUAUGUUGUUAUAUCUGUGUUUAGUUGUAUUUCCUAGUUUUACAGCUGUUCAGUUAUCUGUAUUGAUGCAGUUAUAGGUAUAUGUCUCUUUAAAUCUCUGUAUUGGAAGUUGUACUGGUUGAUAUGUCUCUUUUAAUAUUUUUUAAUGUUUAUUGAUCUAUUUCUGUCUAUAUAAUAAUAUUUACAUAUGUAUCUAGAUGUAAAGCUGUAUAUUUGUACUGAUAUAGUUGGGUGUAUAUUUAGAUUGGUGAUAUUUGUAUAUUUAUAGAUAGGUUUUGAUUUAUAUAUUUACUUAUAUAUAUAUAUUGUAUGUAAUAUGUAAUAUGCGAUGCUUAAUUUAUAUUUACAUCUGUAGAUUGUUAUAUUUGUAUAUGUAUUUAUAUAUAUGUUCAUAUAUGUAUGUAUUUAAUUCCAUUUCAACAUGUGUGGAGUGGUAUAGUUGUAUAAUUCUCUAUACUGAAUUCUUAGUGUAGGUCUGUUUAGAGAGGGAAUGGUAUUGUUGUGUUUCUGUAUGGGCUGUACGUUUGUAGUAAUAGGUAAUAAAUUAAGUCCUUAAACACCUAAUUGAUCUUUGUGUAUAGUGAGUUGUUGUAGAGGUUGGCAAUAAAUAAGUUUUUCUUAUCUGAAGUUGGUAUUUGUAUAUUUUUAUACUGACUGGUUGUAAUAAUCUAAUAAAUUCCUGGUUUUACCCUAAA